GGGCGGAUGGUUUAGUGGUAUAAUGCCUUCUUAGCAUGAAAGCAAGUGCCAUGCUUGGAGGAGGUCCGGGGUUCGAUUCCCCGUCUGUCCA
rfam:Ophiocordyceps unilateralis strain SC16a Contig_213, whole genome shotgun sequence.